AAUCAACGCUGGCGGCGUGCCUCAGACAUGCAAGUCGAACGCGAAAGUUCCCUUCGGGGGAUAAGUAGAGUGGCGUCCGGGUGAGUAACACGUAGGUAAUCUACCUUUGGGUGGGGAAUAACAACCGGAAACGGUUGCUAAUACCGCAUAAUGCAGCGGCACCACAUGGUGACAGUUGUUAAAGCGGGGGAUCGCAAGACCUCGCGCCUAAAGAGGAGCCUGCGGCGGAUUAGCUAGUUGGAGGGUAACGGCCUACCAAGGCAACGAUCCGUAGCCGGCCUGAGAGGGCGGUCGGCCACACUGACACUGAAAUACGGGUCAGACUCCUACGGGAGGGCAGCAGUCGGGAAUUUUGGGCAAUGGGCGAAAGCCUGACCCAGCAACGCCGCGU
rnacentral:rRNA from 1 species